AUGGUGGUAACGGGUAACGGGGUGUUAGGGCACGACACCGGAGAGGGAGCCUGAGAAACGGCUACCACAUCCAAGGAUGGCAGCAGGCGCGCAAAUUACCCAAUCCCGACACGGGGAGGUAGUGACAAUAAAUAACAAUACGGGGUCCUUUAGGGUUUCGUAAUUGGAAUGAGUACAAUUUAAAUCUCUUAACGAGGAACAAUUGGAGGGCAAGUCUGGUGCCAGCAGCCGCGGUAAUUCCAGCUCCAAUAGCGUAUAUUAAAGUUGUUGCAGUUAAAAAGCUCGUAGUUGAAUUUCGGGAUCAGUACGCCGGUCGUGCCUUCGGUAUGCACUGGUGUCACUGGUUUCUCCCUUCUGAAGAACCAUCAUGCCAUUCAGUUGGUGUGGCGGGGAAUCAGGACUGUUACUUUGAAAAAAUUAGAGUGUUUAAAGCAGGCUCGCGCUUGAAUACAUUAGCAUGGAAUAAUGAAAUAGGACGUUUGACCCUAUUUUGUUGGUUUCUAGGAUCGACGUAAUGAUUAAUAGGGAUAGUUGGGGGCAUUAGUAUUCAAUUGUCAGAGGUGAAAUUCUUGGAUUUAUUGAAGACUAACUACUGCGAAAGCAUUUGCCAAGGAUGUUUUCAUUAAUCAAGAACGAAAGUUAGGGGAUCGAAGACGAUCAGAUACCGUCGUAGUCUUAACCAUAAACUAUGCCGA
rnacentral:rRNA from 1 species